CAGUAUCUGGGCUUUGAAUUGCAGGAGUCACUUCGAUUCAGCAGACAUUCCUGUAUAGUUAUCAGCAAUUUAAAUUGGAUAUGAUAUGAAACUAAGGCUUAAGGAGUUCUUUCUCUGCUUAGGCACUGUUCUUUGUGCUUAAGCAGCUUUACUUAGAACAAAGAGGUAGUCCUUACCCUCUCCAAAUUGCAGAUAAUGAAAUUUGAAGAUUAGAAGAGUUGAAGAAACAUGCCCAAGAAUAAGUAGCAGGUAAAGACUCAGAAAUGGGAGUCAAGUUCAGAUGUAACUUUUUCCAGAGUCUUGCUCUUCAUAGGAUACCAUCAUCUCUGCUCUUGAAGUUGCAGACAGAAUGAUCCUAGCAAUUAAAAAAGGGUGUGAUCUAUGCAAUAUGCAGUUAAGUGGGAUGAAGCAGUACAUUCACGUUGAAGAGGACAGAGAUGUAAAGAGAGAGAAUAUGCAAGCAGACUUGGUCAUCCCAUGAGGGAUAGCUGAUAUUGGCUGGAUUGGACUGGGAGGCUCUGCUGUUCGUUGGCUAGCUGAAGAGACAGAGAGAGUACGAGCAGGGAAGGGGCAGAGGGAGAGGGAGAGAGAAAAUCUGAAGCAGUCUUCACACCCGUAAAGAGCCAAACACGGGGGACCUCGAUCUCAUGAUCUUGAGAUCACGACCUAAGCUGAAAUCAGAUGGGAGUUUCCUGAUUGAAUGUACAUGAAUUCAUAUCAAGCAAUCUCAGAAAAAAGUUUCAUGUUUGUUAAUUUAUCAAGUGCUUAUUCUUUUAUAGAUUUGAGAUUUCCUUUAUAAUGUUGUAAAUAAACAACAGAAGUACUUAUCAAAAGAAAAAAUAUAUAUAUACUGCUAUUUGGAAGGAAAAGAACAGGUCAAGUGCUUGAGUGUUUUCCAGCAGGGAGAUAUGUCAUGCUGACCCACUAGUGGAAUAAACUGCAAAGAGAUCUGCCUUAAAAGAUCCUGAGCAUCCUAUUCUAAAUUUGAUUAUGUAUUAAUCUUGUGGCCAUUAUUGAUCAGUCAUUCUGAGACCCAUUCUACUUCAUUUGUAAAAUGAAUAUAUUAACUUUGCAUUAUCUGAUACACACAAUUGUUGGAAUUCAUCAGGAUCAUCACAAAUAUAAAGUGCUAUGUGAAUCUGAAGUUUUGACUCUUUUUCAGCUUUCUGAGCAACAACAACAACAACAAAAAAAGAAAACCAGCUUAAUAGACACUUAUUGUAGGAUAUGCUUGGCUUAUCUCUUGCACCAACUGUGCCCCCAAAUUAUAUUCAGCAGAGUAAUACAUAGUCUCU